GGAGUUGUAGCUCAGUGGUAGAGUGCUUGCCUUGCAUGCAUGAGGCCCUGGGUUCGAUCCUCAGCACCA
rnacentral:tRNA from 1 species